rnacentral:rRNA from 1 species
CCUACGGGGGGCUGCAGUGGGGAAUAUUGGACAAUGGGCGCAAGCCUGAUCCAGCAAUGCCGCGUGUGUGAAGAAGGCCUUCGGGUUGUAAAGCACUUUUAUCAGGAGCGAAAAGUCUUCGGUUAAUACCCGGGGAUGCUGACGGUACCUGAUGAAUAAGCACCGGCUAACUUCGUGCCAGCAGCCGCGGUAAUACGAAGGGUGCAAGCGUUAGUCGGAAUUACUGGGCGUAAAGCGUGCGUAGGCGGUUUCCUAAGUCCGUUGUGAAAGCCCUG